ACCUAGGGCAACACUUUUCAACUAUAAAAAGCCACAUAAGGAGCCUCUACAUGGCCCUUAAGCUCCCCUUGGGAGACACCUACGAAAUUCACAUCUCUUCUUCUACCUUUCUUCUUUUCUUUUAUUUUUAGUUUUGUUUCAGCCAUGAGAGACUGAAAUCUUUUAUUCUAGUUGAAGAUUAGGUGAUACUUUGGUUGUUUUAUGGAUUGGGAG
rnacentral:lncRNA from 1 species